rnacentral:rRNA from 1 species
UGCAUGAAGUUGGAAUCGCUAGUAAUCGCGGAUCAGCAUGCCGCGGUGAAUACGUUCCCGGGCCUUGUACACACCGCCCGUCACACCAUGAGAGUCGGGAACACCCGAAGUCCGUAGCCUAACCGCGAAGGGGGGCGCGGCCGAAGGUGGGUUCGAUAAUUGGGGUGAAGUCGUAACAAGGUAAC